rnacentral:rRNA from 1 species
UAUAGAUGGAUCCGCGCUGCAUUAGCUAGUUGGUAAGGUAACGGCUUACCAAGGCAACGAUGCAUAGCCGACCUGAGAGGGUGAUCGGCCACACUGGAACUGAGACACGGUCCAGACUCCUACGGGAGGCAGCAGUAGGGAAUCUUCCGCAAUGGGCGAAAGCCUGACGGAGCAACGCCGCGUGAGUGAUGAAGGUCUUCGGAUCGUAAAACUCUGUUAUU